GGAAGUUCCCAAGUGUAGCGGGGAAAAUGCGUAGAGUAUUUGGGAGAACCACCCAGGGCGAAGGCGACUGUUGUGUUCUGUAACUGACCAUUGAGCCGGGAAAGCGUGGGGGCAAACAGGGUUGGGAUACCCUGGUAGUGCACGCCGUAAACGGAUGAGUGGUAAGUGUUAGGGGGGUUUCCGCGGGCUUAGUGGGGGCAGGGAACGCGUGAGCACUCCGCCGGGGGGGUACGGUCGCAAGACUGAAACUCAAAGGAAUUGACGGGGCCCGCACAAGCGGUGGAGGCAGGGGGGUGUAAUUGGAAGCAACGCGAAGAACCUUACCAGGUCUGGACAUCCUCUGACAACCCUAGAGAUAGGGCUUUCCCCUUCGGGGGACAGAGUGACAGGUGGUGCAUGGUUGUCGUCAGCUCGUGUCGUGAGAUGUUGGGUUAAGUCCCGCAACGAGCGCAACCCUUGAUCUUAGUUGCCAGCAUUCAGUUGGGCACUCUAAGAUGACUGCCGGUGACAAACCGGAGGAAGGUGGGGAUGACGUCAAAUCAUCAUGCCCCUUAUGACCUGGGCUACACACGUGCUACAAUGGACGGUACAAAGGGCAGCGAGACCGCGAGGUUUAGCCAAUCCCAUAAAACCGUUCUCAGUUCGGAUUGUAGGCUGCAACUCGCCUACAUGAAGCUGGAAUCGCUAGUAAUCGCGGAUCAGCAUGCCGCGGUGAAUACGUUCCCGGGCCUUGUACACACCGCCCGUCACACCACGAGAGUUUGUAACACCGCG
rnacentral:rRNA from 1 species